CAUUGUUGGAGAGUUUGAUCCUGGCUCAGGACGAACGCUGGCGGCGUGCUUAACACAUGCAAGUCGAACGAUGAAGCCUUCGGGUGGAUUAGUGGCGAACGGGUGAGUAACACGUGGGCAAUCUGCCCUGUACUUUGGGAUAAGCCUGGGAAACUGGGUCUAAUACCGGAUAUCACCGACCUUCGCAUGGGGGUUGGUUG
rnacentral:rRNA from 1 species